UAUUAUUAUUAUUAUUAUUAUUAUUAUUUUUUUACAUUUUUACCUUUUGUCACACUUAAAUGUUUUAGCUCACCAAAUCCAAUUUAAUUUUAAACAAGGGUCAUUUGAGUCUUCAAAUUAUAGUUUCAUUUAUUUAGGGGGAAAAAAAGUGAGGGUCAGCUGUUGCCGUGGUGGCAACAACUGCUGUCUGGCAUUUUGAUGCUCUCAUAAUGUCUCAUGCAUCCCUACGGAGGAAUUUUGGCCUAUUUCUCCUUCUAUAUUUGUUUUAAAUCUGCUGCAUUGGAGGGGUUUUUGCACAAAUGACAUACCACAGUUUCUUAAUUGGACUUGUGUCUUGAUUUAAAGUAUACAAGUUACUCCAAGGUGGACUUACUGGUUUACUUCAGAUCAUUGUUCCACUGUAUAACCCAAGUUUGAUUUGAAAAGCUUUUUUUUUUUUUUUUUUAAUCUUUGUCUAAUGUCAAAGUUGAUUUUAUGAUACAGUACAUAUUUCUGUGGAAAAAAGGCCGUCAUUGAUUCCAGGACCCAGUGGCAAAAUAUGACAAAAUCUUUUCAGACUUUAAGUCACAUGAAACAGAAAAAUCAGUCAUGUGCCACGAGGCUUGGUGUGAAAGUAUGUACUCACACUAAGAUAGUCAAAUGUGGUGAAAAUAAGCAAUGGGAGUUCUUUGCAACAGAAUUGCCAAAUAAAGUAACGAGGAGCUUUUGAGUGAGGUAAGAUUGUUUUGGCUAAAACAUCAGGCCACCGAUCACCUGACUGCACAAGGAAGUAUAUUCAAUGGUACUUUCCCCUUUUCUGAAACUAACAUGUUCAUGUAGUGACAUGUUCAUCUAUUCAUGCUCCUGUAUGGAGGGUUGAGAUUUGCGUAUUUCACUUUUAAUGUGAAGGUCUGUCACAGGUUCAUUGUGUUGUUAACUACAUAGUGUAGCUGUUGCUUGCAGUAUUCAGGGUUUCUGUGUACUGUUAUACAGUGACAGUGAACCUUUGGAGUUUUGUAACAUUUGAACACAAAAACAAUCCUCCUGUGAACUGGUAAAGCUGUACACUUACAUAAAAGUAUCUUUAUGAUAAGCAAGAUUUAAUCUACUGACAUAUAUCCGAUCAUGGGAGUAAGAAAUGAUGUCAUCUUGCAUCAUAUGACUCUCUGUAGUUGUUUACUUUCGAUAUCGCACUGCUCUGAACUCAUGAAGUUAUCAAAUUUUUAAUUUGUGGGUAUGUUCAUUAGUUUUCUAGUGCUGUUAUGCCUUAACAGUAGAUGUGUGUAAUAUAGAGAGUAAAGAUAAUACAUGUUAUGCGAGGCUUCCUGAUUAGAGAAGUUUAUAAUAUCAUAAACAAGUUCUCAAGAGGGUGGAGCUUGGCAGGGGAUUCCUUGGAUCGCGACGUCAUCAAAACUACCAGUACUUAAGCUUCACUCCCUAUGUUUAGUUACAACCUGUUCUUCCUUGUCAAUGCAACACAAGCGUAUAAAAGCUCAGCGAUCGAGAAAAACUGAACAUCUGAAAACUUCUGGUCUAAGAUGACAGUCAAAGUGGAAAACCACGAUCUUCCUACCGCUGAUGAGCUCUGCGCUCGCGAGCUGCGGCAAGUUGGAGAUAAAUUGUACUGGAGGUACAAACUCCUGGAAAUGCUGCUCAAAAACUAUGAGGCCGUCAACCAAAUAAAAUGAGAGGUCACACAGACGGCAUCAUGAAUUCGAUAAAACCCAAACUAGCCUUGGAUGAGAACCGAUUACUGGUUACAACGUGGUGAUCCUUGCGAGGGCUUUCCACUGCUGACACAUCUGGCGGAACUCGCCAGUGUGGACUUUGGAGUGAAAUUAAGAUGGAAAACAAAACAGGCGGGAGGAUGUAAAUCCCGCGGCUGACUGGACCAAAGGACAACGACUACAUGGCAGUUGUCUGCUGAAGAUACUGGAACUGAAAAACACAUACAUCCAUGCACUGAAUCAUGUUUACAGCAUGUUCAUUUAAGAGUUGUAGCUAUGGGAAACGUGGUGUUAUAGAUUUGCUAAAAAGCUACAAAUGAAACUAUUUCUUUCUCAUAAUAGUUACUUGUACUGUCUUUGUUAAAUGGGUUAUUUGACAAUGGUUGUAGUUCUAUUUAUUGUUUUAAGUAUUUAUGAACAUAUUUUAAUUUUUUUAAGUUAAGAUUUUGUCAGGUUUUAUACAACCAGUUCUAUCUUUGACAGCAUUACAGAGUAUAUUUGAAAUACUAUGUCUUUGAAAUGUAGCAGAAAAACCUGACUAAAUUAUUUCCACCUUUACAGAUGUAUCUUUGUAUGCCUGUUGCUGAGGAUAUUGUAAUUAAUGGCAAUAAAUGUGUUUGCACUGAUACUUGGAUCUUAAAAAUAAAUCAUCCUCAAUACUA